rnacentral:rRNA from 1 species
GACGAACGCUGGCGGCGUGCUUAACACAUGCAAGUCGAACGGGUCUGCCCUGUUUUUUGCGGGGUGGGUCAGUGGCGAACGGGUGAGUAACACGUGAGUAACCUGCCCCUCACUUCUGGAUAACCGCUUGAAAGGGUGGCUAAUACGGGGUGUUCUGGCUGUGCCGCAUGGUGUGGCUGGGAAAGAUUCACUUUUGUGGUGUUUUGGUGGGGGAUGGGCCCGCGGCCUAUCAGCUUGUUGGUGGGGUGAUGGCCUGCCAAGGCUUUGACGGGUAGCCGGCCUGAGAGGGUGGGCGGUCACACUGGGACUGAGAUACGGCCCAGACUCCUGCGGGAGGCAGCAGUGGGGGGUAUUGCACAAUGGGCGGAAGCCUGAUGCAGCGACGUCGCGUGAGGGAUGGAGGCCUUCGGGUUGUGAACCUCUUUCGCCGGUGAAGAAGGUCCUGCUCUUUGUGGUGGGGUUGACGGUAGCCGGGUUAUGAAGCGCCGGCUAACUACGUG